GCGAGCAUAGCCAAGCGGUUAAGGCAAAGCUCUGCAAAAGCUUUAUUCAUCGGUUCAAAUCCGAUUACUCGCUCCA
rnacentral:tRNA from 1 species